GUAAAAUCUAUAUUACAGCAAAGAACAACAUAGAAAAUAUGAGGCUCGGAUUGGAAUGGAACAAACCUGAUGUUCUAAAACGUCUAAUAUUUAAAGGAGAAGCUCACUGGGAAGAUGUAAAGAAAUGGAUUCAGGAAAACAUAAAAUUGAGAAACCUUAGAGACGAAGAGGCAUCAAAUCCCUGUGAUGCAUUUGGUGAGGUAAAGUUUGUAGAACAUGAUCAGAAAAUUGCAAAGGUAAUGUU